rnacentral:lncRNA from 1 species
ACUCUGAUACACUUUUCUCGUCCCACUCAUCUCCGACCAUCUCACUCUCUACUCACAACAACAAUCAUCUCUCUUUUUCCAUCUGGUCGCAGAAACGUAACAACAUCAUCGUUCGCUCAUCUUCUCGCGUUCGCAGCUUCACCACAACACAAUUUAGCCGUUGUUCUCCUCUUGUCUGAGAUUGUUCAGAUUCACGCUUUACCUCGC